CCCGCUGGGCUCACCCAAAGAAGGAAAAGCAGUGUGAGCCCCUGCUUGGGGUAGACCCUCUUCCGUGCCAUCCAAGGGACAAGGCUGCAGCGGAGGGGGCCUGGAGGGGCACACGCCAGGGAAGAGCUGGGCUGCAGCCGGCGCACGGCUGCCUGCGUCCCUGACCAGAGGCCUGGUCCUCCCUCCUUGCAGCACUCGGAGUUCCCUCAGCAGAGUGUCCCGGUCUGCCUCUGUCUGCGUCCUUCCCAGAGCGCCCUGCACAGUGCCCAGCACGUAGCAGGCCUUCAGGGACACUCGAUGAUUAGACUGGAUGGAUGAAUGGAUGGACGAUGGAUGGAUGGAAGGAUGCAUGAAGGAUCAACAGUCGUCUGAAAGUGCCACAAGGGCAGAGGCCACAUCUGCGUAAUUCACAGCUGAAUUCUCACCAAGUUGCACAGCACCUGGCACAUACUAGACAUUCAGGAAGCGCUCAUUGGAUGAAUGAAUACAUGCGUGCACACGUGAAUAGAAGGAUGGAGAGAGGAUUCUGUAUUAACAGCUGCCAGGACCCUGCCAACAUGGGGUCUGAAUUCGAGCUCUCCAAGAAGCUGAUCCCGAGGCAAAGAUCUGAGAGCAGAUAGGGAAACUGAGGCUUAGAGAGGUUCAGUCCUUGGCCCAUGACAAUGCAGAUGGUGG